rnacentral:rRNA from 1 species
GAAAUGUUGGGUUAAGUCCCGCAACGAGCGCCACCCUUAUCCUUUGUUGCCAGCGGUUCGGCCGGGAACUCAAAGGAGACUGCCAGUGAUAAACUGGAGGAAGGUGGGGAUGACGUCAAGUCAUCAUGGCCCUUACCAGUAGGGCUACACACGUGCUACAAUGGCGCAUACAAAGAGAAGCGACCUCGCGAGAGCAAGCGGACCUCAUAAAGUGCGUCGUAGUCCGGAUUGGAGUCUGCAACUCCACUCCAUGAAGUCGGAAUCGCUACUAAUCGUAGAUCAAAAUGCUACGGUGAAUACGUUCCCGGGUCUUGUACACACCGA